GAAAAGGUGACCUUAGAUAGGCUGGAGGCAGUGAUAGCAACAGUGGCCAUGUGUCCUUGGACGACUCACAUGUGGACAGCAGUUCCAGGCAGCAGGAGCUUGCUUUGAAACUCAGCAAAGAAGGGAAAUCCAUUGAGAACAGUCUGUAAAGUGUGUUGAUAAUCUUCUUCCCAGCCCCAUGCUCUCCCACAAGCCCCAAGGACAAGCUAGACCUUUUCUCAUGUAUCCCGAAGACGACCUGCCAGUCUCAUCCCUCUGCAGAAACUGUAUACCCUAUAUUAAGGACUCCAAAGAGGCAGCUAUAGUCUGAAAGGUAGUGUUUGCUUCAUUUUUAAUUUUUUCAAAGAGUGUGAUAUACUUGACCUAUGGACAUCCUUAAAAUAGUAGUGACAUUCCUUUUGCAUAUAAAACAGAACUUUGAAAAUGAUAUCAUUUCAUGGCUAGAUUCCCAUUGAAAAUUUAUGCUCUCUCAACUUCUAUUUGUAGC